rnacentral:rRNA from 1 species
CACGAAGUUAGCCGGGGCUUCUUCUACGGGUACCGUCAUCAUCGUCCCCGUCGAAAGUGCUUUACGAUCCGAAGACCUUCUUCACACACGCGGCAUUGCUGGAUCAGGCUUGCGCCCAUUGUCCAAUAUUCCCCACUGCUGCUCCCGUAGGAGUCUGGGCCGUGUCUCAGUCCCAGUGUGGCUGGUCGUCCUCUCAGACCAGCUACUGAUCGUAGCCUUGGUAGGCCUUUACCCCGACCAACUAGCUAAUCAGGCGCAGGCUACUCCGAAGGCGCAUUGCUGCUUUGAGCCUCAGCCCAUAUGCGGUAUUACGCCCUAGUUUCCCGAGGGUUACUCCCCCACCUUCGGACACAUUCCUACGUGUUACUCACCCGUCCGCCGCUCCCCGUUGCGGGUCGCACGACUUGCAUGUGUUAACGCAUGCCGCCAGCGUUCACUCUGCGCCGAGGAUCAAACCUC